UUAUUCAUCAAAUCAUAAAUAGAAAAAUAAACAUGGUGAUGUUAACUUCAAGAAUCAUCCAAGUGGCUCUACCUAGCGGUAGAGGAAGGUCCGCUCUCCACUGGAAUCCGAUUUAGUAUUAGAGGGAGGCUGCACUAAAAAUCAAAAACAAAGAAAAUUCAGCAACGUUGAGUAGGAACCCCAAAAGUCAACUCAAAAUGUAUAUAUGAUCAAAAUUCAAUCAAUCAUCCCAUUGGCGUAUAUCAAAUACCCGAAAGAGCACUCCCCUAACAGCGGAUGGAGAGGCUUUACCCUACGGGAUGAGUUUGUGUUCU
rnacentral:lncRNA from 1 species